GUAUAGGUUUAAUGACUGCGCGAGCGCAAGUCUUUAAAAGACAUUCUGUAACUUUUAUAGUGUAUAUGAAAACAUAGCCUUGAAAGCGAGCAGGGGAAUGAGGCCUUGCGGCGACUCAAAAUCCCCCCAACCGCAUCGCUGCGAGAGGUUCACUUUGGAUUCAAGGACUACAAGAGGUGCACAAGAGAAGAUAAAUAGACGUGGAGCGAGCACAUGCCCCGCAAAGGGCCAGCAUCAGAACCAGCGUUCGUAUUCAAUAAUGAUCCUUCCGCAGGUUCACCUACGGAAA
rnacentral:misc_RNA from 1 species